AGGACGUUGAUAGGCUGGGUGUGGAAGCGCAGUAAUGCGUUAAGCUAACCAGUACUAAUUGCUCGUGAGGCUUGACCCUA
rnacentral:rRNA from 1 species